UAACACAUGCAAGUCNACGCACUGUAGCAAUNCGGUGAGUGGCGCACGBGUGGCUAACGCGUAACNAACCUACCUACAUCUGGGGGAUAGCCCGCCGAAAGGGUUAAAUACCGCGUAUACCAGCAGCCUGGCAUCAGGGAACUGGGAAAGAUUUAUUGGAUGUAGAUGGGGUUGCGUGCCAUUAGCUAGUUGGCGGGGUAACGGCCCACCAAGGCGACGAUGGCUAGGGGACCUGAGAGGGUGAUCCCCCACACUGGCACUGAGAUACGGGCCAGACUCCUACGGGAGGCAGCAGUAGGGAAUAUUGGGCAAUGGGCGAGACCGGACCCAGCUAUGCCGCGUGCCGGAUGAAGGCCUUCUGGGUUGUAAACGGCUUUUCUCAGGGAAGAAAAAGGGGAUGCGUCCAAACUGACGGUACCUGAGAAUAAGCACCGGCUAUCUCCGUGCCAGCAGCCGCGGUAAUACGGAGGGUGCAAGCGUUGUCCGNAUUUAUUGGGUUAAAGCGUGCGUAGGUGGCCCGUUAAGUCCGGGGUGAAAGCCCACCUGCUCAACAGUGAACCUGCCCUGGAUACUGACGGGCUGAGUCAGACGAGGUUGGCGGAAUGGAUGGUGUACGCGGUGAAAUGCAUAGAUACCAUCAGACCCCCGAUUGCGUAGCAGCUGACUAGGCUGGGUACUGACACUGAGGCACGAAAGCGUGGGGAGCGAACAGGAUUAGAUACCCUGGUAGUCCACGCCGUAAACGAUGGAUACUCGUUGCAGGCAAUACACAGUCUGUGACUUUAGCGAAA
rnacentral:rRNA from 1 species